rnacentral:rRNA from 1 species
GGAAACCCAGUGUGAUUCGUCACACUAUCAUUAACUGAAUCCAUAGGUUAAUGAGGCGAACCGGGGGAACUGAAACAUCUAAGUACCCCGAGGAAAAGAAAUCAACCGAGAUUCCCCCAGUAGCGGCGAGCGAACGGGGAGGAGCCCAGAGCCUGAAUCAGUGUGUGUGUUAGUGGAAGCGUCUGGAAAGGCGCGCGAUACAGGGUGACAGCCCCGUACACAAAAAUGCACAUGCUGUGAGCUCGAUGAGUAGGGCGGGACACGUGGUAUCCUGUCUGAAUAUGGGGGGACCAUCCUCCAAGGCUAAAUACUCCUGACUGACCGAUAGUGAACCAGUACCGUGAGGGAAAGGCGAAAAGAACCCCGGCGAGGGGAGUGAAAAAGAACCUGAAACCGUGUACGUACAAGCAGUGGGAGCACGCUUAGGCGUGUGACUGCGUACCUUUUGUAUAAUGGGUCAGCGACUUAUAUUCUGUAGCAAGGUUAACCGAAUAGGGGAGCCGAAGGGAAACCGAGUCUUAACUGGGCGUUAAGUUGCAGGGUAUAGACCCGAAACCCGGUGAUCUAGCCAUGGGCAGGUUGAAGGUUGGGUAACACUAACUGGAGGACCGAACCGACUAAUGUUGAAAAAUUAGCGGAUGACUUGUGGCUGGGGGUGAAAGGCCAAUCAAACCGGGAGAUAGCUGGUUCUCCCCGAAAGCUAUUUAGGUAGCGCCUCGUGAAUUCAUCUCCGGGGGUAGAGCACUGUUUCGGCAAGGGGGUCAUCCCGACUUACCAACCCGAUGCAAACUGCGAAUACCGGAGAAUGUUAUCACGGGAGACACACGGCGGGUGCUAACGUCCGUCGUGAAGAGGGAAACAACCCAGACCGCCAGCUAAGGUCCCAAAGUCAUGGUUAAGUGGGAAACGAUGUGGGAAGGCCCAGACAGCCAGGAUGUUGGCUUAGAAGCAGCCAUCAUUUAAAGAAAGCGUAAUAGCUCACUGGUCGAGUCGGCCUGCGCGGAAGAUGUAACGGGGCUAAACCAUG